UACGUAGGGUGCGAGCGUUAAUCGGAAUUACUGGGCGUAAAGCGUGCGCAGGCGGUUUUGCAAGCCGGAUGUGAAAUCCCCGGGCUUAACCUGGGAAUGGCAUUUGGGACUGCAAGGCUGGAGUGCGGCAGAGGAGACUGGAAUUCCUGGUGUAGCAGUGAAAUGCGUAGAUAUCAGGAGGAACACCGAUGGCGAAGGCAGGUCUCUGGGCUGACACUGACGCUCAUACACGAAAGCGUGGGGAGCAAACAGG
rnacentral:rRNA from 1 species